ensembl:lncRNA
CAAUGCUUUCUUUCCCCUCCACUUAUGUUUCAGGUCUUGGACCUGUUCCUGGGCUCCUGCACACUGAUAUCCAUCUCACCCGCUUCUAAGUGUCCGUCACAGUCGGCGUGGAAACAUGGAAGUUCCCUCCAAAUUGCACAACGCUUUCUUUCCCCUCCACUUAUGUUUCAGGUCUUGGAUCUGUUCCUGGGCUCCUGCACACUGAUAUCCAUCUCACCCGCUUGUAAGUGUCCGUCACAACCAGCGUGGAAACCUGGAGGUUCCCUCCAGAUUGCACAACGCUUUCUUUCCACUCUCCUUGUGUUUCAGGUCUUGGAUCUUUUUGUGGGCUCCUGCACACUGAUAUCCAUCUCACCCGCUUCUAAGUGUCCGUCACAACCGGCGUGGAAACCUGGAAGUUCCCUCCAAAUUGCACAACGCUUUCUUUCCACUCUCCUUGUGUUUCAGGUCUUGGAUCUGUUUGUGGGCUCCUGCACACUGAUAUCCAUCUCACCCGCAUGU